rnacentral:rRNA from 1 species
UACGGGGGGGGCAAGCGUUGUUCGGAAUUACUGGGCGUAAAGGGCUCGUAGGUGGUCAACUAAGUCAUACGUGAAAUCCCUCGGCUUAACCGGGGAACUGCGCCUGAUACUGGUUGACUUGAGUUUGGGAGAGGGACGCGGAAUUCCAGGUGUAGCGGUGAAAUGCGUAGAUAUCUGGAGGAACACCGGUGGCGAAGGUGGCGUCCUGGACCAAUACUGACACUGAGGAGCGAAAGCCAGGGGAGCAAACGGG